CUUAUCAAGAGUGGCGGAGGGAUAGGCCCUGUGAAGCCCGGCAACCACCCAUUUGGGAAAUGGUGCUAAAUCCUACGAGACUAUACAGUUUUGGAAGAUGAGG
rnacentral:ncRNA from 1 species